rnacentral:rRNA from 1 species
UACGUAGGGUGCAAGCGUUAAUCGGAAUUACUGGGCGUAAAGCGUGCGCAGGCGGUCCGCUAAGACCGAUGUGAAAUCCCCGGGCUCAACCUGGGAACUGCAUUGGUGACUGGCGGGCUGGAGUAUGGCAGAGGGGGGUAGAAUUCCACGUGUAGCAGUGAAAUGCGUAGAGAUGUGGAGGAAUACCGAUGGCGAAGGCAGCCCCCUGGGCCAAUACUGACGCUCAUGCACGAAAGCGUGGGGAGCAAACAGG